AGACAGGCUGUUACGCUAUGCUGUUAACAGCGCUGCUGUAGUGGCACAUUUUUAGAUCAUAGCAAGCCCCAACAUACACGUCUGCCCAUAGAUUAAGUGCAUAUUAAGCUCAAAAAUUGUUUCACCAUGUGCCAAUCAAAAAGUUUUGAUAAAAUAUGCACCUGGUGGUUUGCAAUAUGGAACAUAAUCCUCGGCCUUAUAUGGAGCUUUCUGGGCUAUCUCGCCAUCAUCGGACACGAGCGUAAGUACAAAUUUCCAACUGUAAAUUCCAACUAGCAAAAACUAAUCGGAUGUUUUUUUAGAUGGCAUACGUUCACGGUAUUACGACACAGUUGUUUGUUUGUUUACAAUUUCGAUCUGUAUUUGUGCGCCGCUACAUGUGUUGUCUGGCAUUUUGAUAAUGCUUGGAGAUUGGAAGGUCUGUUAGUUCCCUUGUUUCCCUUACCAAACCAUUUUAGAUAAGUUUUUAACCUGCAGGAUAGCAAACGGAUGUUCACAUUUGGUAAAAACCUGAGCAAUUUAUUCCCAUUCUUUUUGCUGGGCACCAUUAUAUUUCCAAGUAGGUGGCUCGACAGAAUCAAUAUUGUUUUUUUCUCAUUUGAAUUUCUUUAUCUCUGAUUUCAGUCAUACACUUCGCUGCCCUAACCAGGGUGUGCCGCUAUUAUGAAAAGCGCUGGAAGUCAAUGCCGUUUUCCGAUUCCAAUUAAAAUUUUAGACACACAGCCCAAAGGGUCAUCAAGGGUAUACAACGUUCGGAUCCUGUUUUUUGAUUAAAAACUCCCAAUUGGAUGUAUGGCUGCAAUCAGCAGCACGCUUCAGC
rnacentral:lncRNA from 1 species